rnacentral:rRNA from 1 species
CACGUAGGCGGAUCAGAAAGUCAGAGGUGAAAUCCCAGGGCUCAACCUUGGAACUGCCUUUGAAACUCCUGAUCUUGAGUUCGAGAGAGGUGAGUGGAAUUCCGAGUGUAGAGGUGAAAUUCGUAGAUAUUCGGAGGAACACCAGUGGCGAAGGCGGCUCACUGGCUCGAUACUGACGCUGAGGUGCGAAAGCGUGGGGAGCAAACA